AACGAACGCUGGCGGCAUGCCUAAUACAUGCAAGUCGAACGAGACCUUCGGGUCUAGUGGCGCACGGGUGCGUAACGCGUGGGAAUCUGCCCUUGGGUUCGGAAUAACAGCGGGAAACUGCUGCUAAUACCGGAUGAUGACGUAAGUCCAAAGAUUUAUCGCCCAGGGAUGAGCCCGCGUAGGAUUAGCUAGUUGGUGGGGUAAAGGCCUACCAAGGCGACGAUCCUUAGCUGGUCUGAGAGGAUGAUCAGCCACACUGGGACUGAGACACGGCCCAGACUCCUACGGGAGGCAGCAGUAGGGAAUAUUGGACAAUGGGCGAAGGCCUGAUCCAGCAAUGCCGCGUGAGUGAUGAAGGCCUUAGGGUUGUAAAGCUCUUUUACCCGAGAUGAUAAUGACAGUAUCGGGAGAAUAAGCUCCGACUAACUCCGUGCCAGCAGCCGCCGUAA
rnacentral:rRNA from 1 species